rnacentral:rRNA from 1 species
GGUCGAACGGCCACAUUGGGACUGAGACACGGCCCAAACUCCUACGGGAGGCAGCAGUAAGGAAUUUUCGGCAAUGGAGGAAACUCUGACCGAGCAAUGCCGCGUGAACGAUGAAGUAUUUCGGUACGUAAAGUUCUUUUAUUAGGGAAGAAAAGAUGGUGGAAAAACCAUUAUGACGGUACCUAAUGAAUAAGCCCCGGCUAACUAUGUGCCAGCAGCCGCGGUAAUACAUAGGGGGCAAGCGUUAUCCGGAAUUAUUGGGCGUAAAGGGUGCGUAGGCGGUUAAAUAAGUUUAUGGUCUAAGUGCAACGCUCAACGUUGUGAUGCUAUAAAAACUGUUUAGCUAGAGUUGGAUAGAGGCAAGUGGAAUUCCGUGUGUAGUGGUAAAAUGCGUAAAUAUACGGAGGAACACCAGAAGCGAAGGCGGCU